rnacentral:rRNA from 1 species
GGGGGAUAUUGGACAAUGGGGGAAACCCUGAUCCAGCAACGCCGCGUGAGUGAAGAAGGGUUUCGGCUCGUAAAGCUCUGUUGGUAGUGAAGAAAGAUAGAGGUAGUAACUGGCCUUUAUUUGACGGUAAUUACUUAGAAAGUCACGGCUAACUAC